UACGUAGGGACCAAGCGUUGUUCGGAUUUACUGGGCGUAAAGGGCGCGUAGGCGGCAAUUCAAGUCAUCUGUGAAAUCUCUGGGCUUAACUCGGAACGGUCAGAUGAUACUGCUUUGCUAGAGUGCGGAAGGGGCAAUCGGAAUUCUUGGUGUAGCGGUGAAAUGCGUAGAUAUCAAGAGGAACACCUGAGGUGAAGACGGGUUGCUGGGCCGACACUGACGCUGACAGCGCGAAAGCCAGGGGAGCAAACGGG
rnacentral:rRNA from 1 species